UUCUGCUUCUCCCGCGGCU
rnacentral:misc_RNA from 1 species